GACAGAGGGUGCAAACGUUGUUCGGAAUUACUGGGCGUAAAGCGCGUGUAGGCGGCUAAGCAAGUCGGGCGUGAAAUCCCAUGGCUCAACCAUGGAAGUGCACCCGAAACUGCAUAGCUAGAGUCCUGGAGAGGAAGGUGGAAUGCUUGGUGUAGAGGUGAAAUGCGUAGAUAUCUGGAGGAACACCGAUGGCGAAGGCAGCCUCCUGGGCCAAUACUGACGCUCAUGCACGAAAGCGUGGGGAGCAAACAGG
rnacentral:rRNA from 1 species